rnacentral:rRNA from 1 species
UUGACCUCGGAUCAGGUAGGGAUACCCGCUGAACUUAAGCAUAUCAAUAAGCGGAGGAAAAGAAACCAACAGGGAUUGCCCUAGUAACGGCGAGUGAAGCGGCAACAGCUCAAAUUUGAAAUCUGGCCCUUUCAGGGUCCGAGUUGUAAUUU